rnacentral:rRNA from 1 species
CGGACAGAAGGGAGCUUGCUCCCGGAUGUUAGCGGCGGACGGGUGAGUAACACGUGGGUAACCUGCCUGUAAGACUGGGAUAACUCCGGGAAACCGGAGCUAAUACCGGAUAGUUCCUUGAACCGCAUGGUUCAAGGAUGAAAGACGGUUUCGGCUGUCACUUACAGAUGGACCCGCGGCGCAUUAGCUAGUUGGUGAGGUAACGGCUCACCAAGGCGACGAUGCGUAGCCGACCUGAGAGGGUGAUCGGCCACACUGGGACUGAGACACGGCCCAGACUCCUACGGGAGGCAGCAGUAGGGAAUCUUCCGCAAUGGACGAAAGUCUGACGGAGCAACGCCGCGUGAGUGAUGAAGGUUUUCGGAUCGUAAAGCUCUGUUGUUAGGGAAGAACAAGUGCAAGAGUAACUGCUUGCACCUUGACGGUACCUAACCAGAAAGCCACGGCUAACUACGUGCCAGCAGCCGCGGUAAUACGUAGGUGGCAAGCGUUGUCCGGAAUUAUUGGGCGUAAAGGGCUCGCAGGCGGUUUCUUAAGUCUGAUGUGAAAGCCCCCGGCUCAACCGGGGAGGGUCAUUGGAAACUGGGAAACUUGAGUGCAGAAGAGGAGAGUGGAAUUCCACGUGUAGCGGUGAAAUGCGUAGAGAUGUGGAGGAACACCAGUGGCGAAGGCGACUCUCUGGUCUGUAACUGACGCUGAGGAGCGAAAGCGUGGGGAGCGAACAGGAUUAGA